rnacentral:rRNA from 1 species
UACGUAGGGUGUAAGCGUUAAUCGGAAUUACUGGGCGUAAAGCGUGCGCAGGCGGUUGUGUAAGACAGAUGUGAAAUCCCCGGGCUCAACCUGGGAACUGCGUUUGUGACUGCACGGCUAGAGUACGGCAGAGGGGGGUGGAAUUCCUGGUGUAGCAGUGAAAUGCGUAGAUAUCAGGAGGUACAUCGAUGGCGAAGGCAGCCCCCUGGGCCGAUACUGACGCUCAUGCACGAAAGCGUGGGGAGCAAACAGG